CGCGGCCUAUCAGCUUGUUGGUGGGGUGAUGGCCUACCAAGGCGACGACGGGUAGCCGGCCUGAGAGGGUGAUCGGCCACAUUGGGACUGAGAUACGGCCCAGACUCCUACGGGAGGCAGCAGUGGGGAAUAUUGCACAAUGGGCGGAAGCCUGAUGCAGCGACGCCGCGUGAGGGAUGACGGCCUUCGGGUUGUAAACCUCUUUCAGCAGGGACGAAGCGUAAGUGACGGUACCUGCAGAAGAAGCACCGGCUAACUACGUGCCAGCAGCCGCGGUAAUACGUAGGGUGCGAGCGUUGUCCGGAAUUACUGGGCGUAAAGAGCUCGUAGGCGGUUUGUCACGUCGUCUGUGAAAUCCUAGGGCUUAACCCUGGACGCGCAGGCGAUACGGGCUGACUUGAGUACUACAGGGGAGACUGGAAUUUCUGGUGUAGCGGUGGAAUGCACAGAUAUCAGGAGGAACACCGAUGGCGAAGGCAGGUUACUGGGCAGUUACUGACGCUGAGGAGCGAAAGCAUGGGUAGCGAACAGGAUUAGAUACCCUGGUAGUCCAUGCCGUAAACGGUGGGCGCUGGGUGUGAGGGUCUUUCUACGACUUUCGUGCCGUAGCUAACGCAUUAAGCGCCCCGCCUGGGGAGUACGG
rnacentral:rRNA from 1 species